rnacentral:rRNA from 1 species
CCCUUAGACGUUCUGGGCCGCACGCGCGCUACACUGACACAGGCAACGAGCUUUCCUUUACCGAAAGGUAUGGGUAAUCUUUUGAAACUGUGUCGUGCUGGGGAUAGAUCCUUGCAAUUUUUGAUCUUAAACGAGGAAUUCCUAGUAAGCGCGAGUCAUCAACUCGCGUUGAUUACGUCCCUGCCCUUUGUACACACCGCCCGUCGCUCCUACCGAUUGAGCGGUCCGGUGAAGACUCAGGAGAUGGGCGCGUGCUUGGUUCGCCAACUGCGCUGCCUGCCAAAUUUGUCUAAACCUUAUCGCUUAGAGGAAGGAGAAGUCGUAACA